rnacentral:rRNA from 1 species
CGCUGCCUGUUGCCACCACGAGAGGUGGGGACGUCAGGCGGGACCGCCGGUGACAAACCGGAGGAAGGUGGGGACGGACGUCAAGUCAUCAUGGCCCUUAUGUCCUGGGCUACACACGUGCUACAAUGGCCGGUACAGAGCGCAGCGAGGCCGCGAGGCGGAGCGAAUCGCUUAAAGCCGGUCCCAGUACGGAUUGGAGUCUGCAACCCGACUCCAUGAAGUUGGAAUCGCUAGUAAUCGCGCAUCAGCAUGGCGCGGUGAAUACGUUCCCGGGCCUU